AAUGAACGCUGGCGGCAUGCCUAACACAUGCAAGUCGAACGAAGGCUUCGGCCUUAGUGGCGCACGGGUGCGUAACGCGUGGGAAUCUGCCCUCAGGUUCGGAAUAACAGCGAGAAAUUGCUGCUAAUACCGGAUGAUAUCGCGAGAUCAAAGAUUUAUCGCCUGAGGAUGAGCCCGCGUAGGAUUAGCUAGUUGGUGUGGGAAAGGCGCACCAAGGCGACGAUCCUUAGCUGGUCUGAGAGGAGGAUCAGCCACACUGGGACUGAGACACGGCCCAGACUCCUACGGGAGGCAGCAGUGGGGAAUAUUGGACAAUGGGCGAAAGCCUGAUCCAGCAAUGCCGCGUGAGUGAUGAAGGCCUAGGGUUGUAAAGCGCUUUUACCCGGGAUGAUAAUGACAGUACCGGGAGAAUAAGCUCCGGCUAACUCCGUGCCAGCCGCCGCCGUAA
rnacentral:rRNA from 1 species